rnacentral:rRNA from 1 species
ACACGAACCGCACGAACGUUAUUCGGAAUCACUGGGCUUAAAGGGUGCGUAGGCGGUCCGGUAAGUUGGGUGUGAAAGCCCUCGGCUCAACCGAGGAAUUGCGCCCAAAACUACCGGACUUGAGGAAGACAGAGGUGAGCGGAACUUGCGGUGGAGCGGUGAAAUGCGUUGAUAUCGCAAGGAACACCAGUGGCGAAAGCGGCUCACUGGGUCUUUUCUGACGCUGAGGCACGAAAGCUAGGGGAGCGAACGGGAUUAGAAACCCCGGUAGUCC